CCCCCCCCCCCCCCCGGCUCGGCCAUGCGCGGAGCAUGACGGCGGCAGGAUGGGAGCUAACAAUGGCAAGCAGUGCGGCAGCGAGGGAAAAGGCAGCUCAAGCAUCUCAUCUGAUGUGAGUUCAAGUACAGAUCACACACCAACCAAAGCCCAAAAGAAUGCGGCUACCAGUGAAGACCAAAAAUUCUACACCUGCCAUUGAAACAGAAUGUAGUGUCGGGCCUGCUUUGGAGGACUUCUUUUGUGUUCUUGCAAAAGCUGUUUCCUUUGUGCAGAGCAAGCAACAUUAAAUCACAUUGGCCUGAUGUGCCUGAGCGAGAAGAUCAUAUUUUCAUCUGGUCUACCGAAGCGGCCUGCCUCAAAAGCACUUUGGGGUGUGUGCUCUGCUUACAAGAGUGUAUAUCAUUGCAGCAUCAGGGGGAAUGGAAUAUCAUCAUUUACAGUAAUACAAAUCUAUAUUAUGUAAAAUGGCAUGCAAAGAAAAUGAAGUACCAUGAACACAGUGCUGUGGCAUAACUCUGAAAUCCUUUGUCAGAGCACACAGCACAGCAGUUUGCGGUGCCAUUCCUAUUUCACACUGCUCCCUGCCACACAUCCCUAGAGAUUUUUGUUUCAUUAUUUAGGCCCCCUCUACAUUUUACAGGUAUUGCACAAUCAAUAAGUUAAUUGUGCAAUUAACUUAAGAUCAGUUACACAUACAAAGUACUUAUCAUGAUAAAAAGAUCCAACCAGCUGUAAAGUUAGACCUUUAAAAUGUGUAGUAACUUGAUAUCAGCUUGGAUUGAGCUUUAAUUUGCAUGUGUAGCAGGGUCUUCCCUGCAGCUGGGAGUCUUGUCAGCUGACAGGGCUCCCAGCUGCAGAGAGAUACCAUGCCCAGCAUGAAACCCCUAGGCUCUGGGGAUUGAGGCAUGAUUGUGUGGAUUGCACCUUAGAUUUCAUAGUGCCUUUAUCUGCACAUGUAGAGGGGGCCUAGAAGUAACAGAGCCCAAUUAUUAGUGGGGUUGAGGUCUCCCUUAAGAUUAAAUGCAUACAAUUACUUGAUUAGCUAGUUAUGUUCAGCAUGAAACUAUACAUUUUAAUAUACACUGUUCAUUAAAGGCCUCACUCCAACAUAUACUUAUGUUGAGCAGCAGUUACAAGUAUCAUCCAUUUACCUCUGUAGGAUGAUAUCAGAGUGAGGAAUAUGAUCAAGUGUUGCACCAUCAAAUGAUAAAUGGUAUGUGCUCCCUGACUAUCUUUCUUUAACUGCCAGGUGAGGCCAACCUUAACAUUAAACUCAGUUGGAAAAAUCCUGUUACUGGUUUUUUUUCAAGGGAAAUACAGGUUCUGCGAAAUGGAAAUUUCCAUUAGAAAAUUUCUGGUUUGCUGAGUGUUAUUUGGGGGAAAGAAAUCCCCAAAAUAUUUUAUAUUUUAAUUCCAGGUCAAGUUUAUCCAGUUCAAAAUAUUUCCGUUUCUUGGAAUGACUCUAGAUAUCUAACCUGGAAUCCUUUCAAUAUGAACUCUUGUAGUGCCUCAGGAUAUCUGGUUUGAAUGCCUCAUGCUCUCAUUCUCUGCUGUAUUCCGAGUUUCCAAAUUUGCAUCGUUAGGGAUAUAGCCAAAAUUCUUCUUGGAGAGGUACAUUAUGGGAGUUACCUACCUCUAGAUGUAUCAUGAGUGACACUCCUGUUAGUUGUAGAAAAGCAUCAUUGAGAGAGACAGCUCAACAGAAUCUAUUUUUUUUUUCAAGUUUUAGCUUCUGUGAAAUCUCAAUAUCAUAACAGGGUUUUUUCUCAUCCUAAUUUGGGAUGAAACAAACAUUGAGCUGCUGGAAUUUCCCAUUGGAUGCAUAUUCUGAUUUUCCACAGUUCUAGCUAAUGUACCUGAUGCCCUUUUGAGAGUCUUUUCUGUGAAACCUUGUAUUAAAUUAUCACACAAGCUUUAAAUCAAGCAAGAGGGGAGUGUUGACUAAGUUGUUUGUUACAUAAUUUUGGUAGACAGCAAUUGCAUUCCUGUUGCUACUUAAAAUUAUAUCAUGCUCUGGAUGGACUCUCUGACAGCUCUUUGGAAAAGGAAAAAUUCCAUGGAUUGUACCCAGGCACAUCUCAAACGGGUGUCAGUGAAAGUGUUGCCUGUGGAAUGUAUACUGAAUUAAUCUCCAAGCAUGGAAAAAUGAAGUCAGUGGUAUUUUCAGUCACUACAAAAAUAUCUCUCUUAAUCAUUGGAAGAUGAAAGAUAGUACCACUCUUAGGAGGUGUUAGUGUAGGAUUUGUAAGGAUAGAGUUAAAUGCCCUGAUCUGCCAUAGGCUUUACUGUUGUUGAGUGUAUUGCUUUAUUAAUGCUUCAGUUCCUUAGAUGCAUAAAAGGGUGAUAACAGUGUCUUACAUCUGGCCUUUUAGGCAGUGAUCCAUCUAGUGUGCAACUAUAGUAUUUACAAGACAGUCUCCCUGCCCCCCUCCUCCCCCAGUUGAUAAGGGGGCAGGGGGGGAAAGCCCCUUUGUCCUGUAAUCAUAUACAAGGAAAUCUCACUAAAUACACGAUCUUUCAUUAGGGACAUACUUAAUUGUGAAGGGGAACAACCAAGAUGGCCACCCCCUCCUCCGCCCUUUGCUGCUCAUUGGCUCAGAGGGCUUCCCAUCACAUGGCAACACCCCUCUGCACUAAUCAGCAGUGAGGGGUUGGGCCAGAGAACAGGCAACCCUCAGCCAAUCAGCCGUGAGGGGCAGAACCUCUGCUGCCUCUCAGCUAAUCAGUUGUCUUCUAUCUGAGUAAAUACAGUAUAUGCAUGUACGUAUAGUAUAAUCAUAUAAUAUAAUAUAGCAUAACAUAAGCAAUAUACAUGCAUAUAUGUGUGUGACUUUAUUUAAUGAUUAACAUCUAUAUCUAUAUAAUAUCUAAAAACCUCGUAGGGAAAAUGGGCAUUUAUACACAUGCUCGGGGGGGCAUGAUUUUUAAUUAUUGCAGCUCUGAGAGCCACGCUAAUUAAAGCUCCCAAAGUGUCACAUGUAUCAGCAUCCCUGUGCUGAAAUAUGAUGGAUGGGGUACUUUUACUAAAAUGUGCUCAAUGAACUUUAAGAAAAGUGCCCCUGCUGCUAUUUUUUCAGCAUGGGGACACUGAUGCGUGGUAAUUACCACGCUCCAGCAGACCUGAUUUAUUGAAUCUGCUCCGAUGCACUGUAAUUACAGUGCAUCAGAGCACCAUCACUGCAUGUGUAUAGGUGCCCAAUGAGGCUAUUUUCCUCGCAGUUUAAUUGAAAGAGAACAUCCUCCAGUUUUUCCCAACUCAUUUUGAAUUAUGCUGAAUUUAAGGAAUUCGUAAUUCACUUUGUUUUUAAGAAUAAAGUAGGAUUAUGAAAACUCAACUGAGGAAAUCUUUGCUAGUAAUUUUAAGAGAGAAGUUUUAAACUAGUCCUUGGUGUUGGGAGAGGGAGAAGCUUAUAAAUUUAUCUGAAACAGUUAUGUUUUGAGAGAGCUGCACAUAUUUUCCUAUUUGUGCAUAGUUCCAAUUGAACUUUACUGAGAUCUUUGUAAUCUUUUCCCAGAUACUUUUACAGGAUAGUUAAUGUCUUUUCGUACCCUGGUCAUCUUUCCUUUCUAUUUUUCAAGCUGCUUGGGCUUUCGGUACAUCUAAUACAGAAUUCUCAUACUAAAAUUUCUCACAGCUCAUGUAGUUCUUACCUGAAUGGAGUUCAGAAUAUUUGCAUCUUUGGAGUCAUAGGAUUUCUGAAAAAUAAAUUGAUAGCUUUAUUCUGUACGAGUCUUCCCAGGAGUGUCUACAUUUCAGUGGUGAUAUAGCUUGUGAAGUGUCUUGGGAUCUUCAGAAUGGAAGCCUCUAGAUGUAUAAAAUAGAAGCAUGUAAAGUUAACCCUUUCAAGUACUUUUGAGAGAGAAUAUUUUUUACAGAAGAUAGCAAUAAAUGUGUAAGACUUGCCAGAGUUAGUGUAAUGAAAGUUUCAUAGUUUUUGCUGUAAUGCACAUAUGUAAAAAAUAUCUAUGCACUCACCCUAAGUAUAGCGUGUACCUAUAGUACUGGUCAUAUGUGGUGUCUCCCUGUAUUAGGAACAGGAGAACACAAAACUAUCAUCAUUUCAGUUGCAGAUGUGAGGGGUUUUUUUGUUGUGUUUUUUUUAAUGGCCCUGUAAACGUUCAGAUACUUGGUACAUAAAGGUGUCCAUUCACAGAUAUCAUGAGCACGUCCACACAUGCAAGCACGUGCGCUUGCAGCAGCUCAAAUAGAAGUGGUGCAAAUUUGAGCCGGGACUUUUGGUCUCAGCGCACGUGCUUGGACAUGUACUUUG